GAUGAACGCUAGCUACAGGCUUAACACAUGCAAGUCGAGGGGAAACGACAUCGAAAGCUUGCUUUUGGUGGGCGUCGACCGGCGCACGGGUGAGUAACGCGUAUCCAACCUGCCCACCACUUGGGGAUAACCUUGCGAAAGUAAGACUAAUACCCAAUGAUAUCCCACGAAGGCAUCGGAAUGGGAUUAAAGAUUUAUCGGUGAUGGAUGGGGAUGCGUCUGAUUAGCUUGUUGGCGGGGUAACGGCCCACCAAGGCUACGAUCAGUAGGGGUUCUGAGAGGAAGGUCCCCCACAUUGGAACUGAGACACGGUCCAAACUCCUACGGGAGGCAGCAGUGAGGAAUAUUGGUCAAUGGGCGAAGAGCCUGAACCAGCCAAGUAGCGUGCAGGAUGACGGCCCUAUGGGUUGUAAACUGCUUUUAUAAGGGAAUAAAGUGAGUCUCGUGAGACUUUUUGCAUGUACCUUAUGAAUAAGGACCGGCUAAUUCCGUG
rnacentral:rRNA from 1 species